UACGUAGGCAGCGAGCGUUGUUCGGAAUUACUGGGCGUAAAGCGUGCGUAGGCGGUGCCUCAAGUUUGGUGUGAAAUCUCCCGGCUCAACCGGGAGGGUGCGCCGAAAACUGAGGUGCUCGAGUGUGGGAGAGGUAAGCGGAAUUCCUGGUGUAGCGGUGAAAUGCGUAGAUAUCAGGAGGAACACCGGCGGUGUAGACGGCUUACUGGACCAUAACUGACGCUGAGGCACGAAAGUGUGGGGAGCGAACAGG
rnacentral:rRNA from 1 species